rnacentral:rRNA from 1 species
GAUGAACGCUGGCGGCGUGCCUAAUACAUGCAAGUCGAGCGAACGGACGAGAAGCUUGCUUCUCUGAUGUUAGCGGCGGACGGGUGAGUAACACGUGGAUAACCUACCUAUAAGACUGGGAUAACUUCGGGAAACCGGAGCUAAUACAGGAUAAUAUUUUGAACCGCAUGGUUCAAAAGUGAAAGACGGUCUUGCUGUCACUUAUAGAUGGAUCCGCGCUGCAUUAGCUAGUUGGUAAGGUAACGGCUUACCAAGGCAACGAUGCAUAGCCGACCUGAGAGGGUGAUCGGCCACACUGGAACUGAGACACGGUCCAGACUCCUACGGGAGGCAGCAGUAGGGAAUCUUCCGCAAUGGGCGAAAGCCUGACGGAGCAACGCCGCGUGAGUGAUGAAGGUCUUCGGAUCGUAAAACUCUGUUAUUAGGGAAGAACAUAUGUGUAAGUAACUGUGCACAUCUUGACGGUGCCUAAUCAGAAAGCCACGGCUAACUACGUG